AAGCAAAUUAUUGAAAAGCUAUGAAGCUAACCAACUCGGCUCAUCUAAAUCUACCCCAACAGCAAACACUCACAAGUCCAACAACGUUAAACUCUGUUUCAAGUUUUACUGUUUUUACUCUCGGCAUGAGCACAUCAUCAUGUGAAACCAUUAAAAUCCAAGUAAUAGCAAACUCACAAGUUGUAGCUUUGUGGAGAUCACUCGGCGAUGAGCAGCAGCGGCGACCAGCAGCAGCGACAGGC
rnacentral:lncRNA from 1 species